AGCUUCGACUAAGGUUCGAUUCGAGCGAAAGCGAGAAAGCGUUGCCAACGGCAACGACCCGAAGGGCGAAGCGCGCAGCGCUGAGUAAUCCUUCCCCCGUCAUCC
rnacentral:sRNA from 3 species